UAAAGUCUAAUCUGCCCACUGAUAUAAUAUUAAAGGGCUGCAGUAUUUUGACUGUACAAAGGUAGCAUAAUCAUUAGUCUUUUAAUUGAAGACUUGUAUGAAUGAUUGGAUGAAAUAUAAACUGUCUCUAAUAUUAUUAGUUAGAAUUUAAUUUUUUUAUUAAAAAGUAAAAAUAAAUUUAAAAGACGAGAAGACCCUAUAGAGUUUUAUAAUUAAUUUAAUUGAAAUUAUUUAUAAAGAUAAUUUUAAAUUAAUAAAUUAAAAUUAAGUUAAUUAUUUUGUUGGGGUGAUAAAAAAAUAAAAAUAACUUUUUUUAAUAAAUAUAUAUAUAUAUAUAUAUAUAUAUAUAUAUUGUAAACAAAAAUAAAUGAUUUUUUGAUCCAGAAUUUUUGAUUAUAAGAAAAAAUUACCUUAGGGAUAACAGCGUAAUUUUUUUUUUUAGUUCAAAUAAGAAAAAGAGUUUGCGACCUCGAUGUUGGAUUAAGGAAAAAUUUAAAUGCAAAAGUUUAAAAUUUUG
rnacentral:rRNA from 1 species